rnacentral:rRNA from 1 species
GUCUAUGGCCAUAUCACCCUAAACGCGCCCGAUCUCGUCUGAUCUCGGAAGCUAAGUAGGGUCGGGCCUCGUUAGUAGUUGGAUGGAAGAAAUGAUCAAAAGUGAAAUGAUCUUGUAAAAU